rnacentral:piRNA from 1 species
UCCAGGAAAGACAAGGCUUGCAGACAUCGA